AGGGGUGUAGCAAUACACUCGCUGGCGACCGGCAAACGGGUGCGGAACACGUACGCAACCUACCCAUAACUGGGGAAUAGCCCGGGGAAACCCGGAUUAAUACCUCGUAACAUCACGAAGCGGCAUCGUUUUGUGAUUAUAGCUCCGGCGGUUAUGGAUGGGCGUGCGCCUGAUUAGGUAGUUGGCGGGGUAACGGCCCACCAAGCCUGCGAUCAGUAACUGGUGUGAGAGCACGACCAGUCACACGGGCACUGAGACACGGGCCCGACUCCUACGGGAGGCAGCAGUAAGGAAUAUUGGUCAAUGGACGCAAGUCUGAACCAGCCAUGCCGCGUGAAGGAUGAAGGUCCUCUGGAUUGUAAACUUCUUUUAUAUGGGACGAAACCCGGGCAUUCCUGCCCGAUUGACGGUACCAUAGGAAUAAGCACCGGCUAACUCCGUGCCAGCAGCCGCGGUAAUACGGAGGGUGCAAGCGUUAUCCGGAUUCACUGGGUUUAAAGGGUGCGUAGGAGGGUAGGUAAGUCAGUGGUGAAAUCUCCGGGCUCAACUCGGAAACUGCCGUUGAUACUAUCUGUCUUGAAUACCGUGGAGGUGAGCGGAAUAUGUCAUGUAGCGGUGAAAUGCUUAGAUAUGACAUAGAACACCGAUUGCGAAGGCAGCUCACUACACGAAUAUUGACUCUGAGGCACGAAAGCGUGGGGAUCAAACAGGAUUAGAUACCCUGGUAGUCCACGCCCUAAACUAUGGAUACUCGACAUACGCGAUACACUGUGUGUGUCUGAGCGAAAGCAUUAAGUAUCCCACC
rnacentral:rRNA from 1 species